UAUAAGAUAGUAUAGUGAGUACGUAGAAUUUUGAUUUCUGCAGCGGACGGUCAUUUCUUCCUCUUAUAG
rnacentral:tRNA from 1 species